GUGGGGAAUUUUGGACAAUGGGCGCAAGCCUGAUCCAGCCAUGCCGCGUGCAGGAUGAAGGCCUUCGGGUUGUAAACUGCUUUUGUACGGAACGAAAAGCCUCUGGUUAAUACCCGGGGGUCAUGACGGUACCGUAAGAAUAAGCACCGGCUAACUACGUGCCAGCAGCCGCGGUAAUACGUAGGGUGCGAGCGUUAAUCGGAAUUACUGGGCGUAAAGCGUGCGCAGGCGGUGAUGUAAGACAGUUGUGAAAUCCCCGGGCUCAACCUGGGAACUGCAUCUGUGACUGCAUUGCUGGAGUGCGGCAGAGGGGGAUGGAAUUCCGCGUGUAGCAGUGAAAUGCGUAGAUAUGCGGAGGAACACCGAUGGCGAAGGCAAUCCCCUGGGCCUGCACUGACGCUCAUGCACGAAAGCGUGGGGAGCAAACAGGAUUAGAAACCCCGGUAGUCC
rnacentral:rRNA from 1 species